AAAAAAUUUGAUUGGUAUUUGUAUUGCCUGCACAAAAAUACUACAAGGGUCAAGAUGUAUAACUACACACCAUGUAGUUACAGAUUGACCCUGUAAGUCAAACGGAAAUCUUUUGUUUGUUGGUGUGGGGAAUAGUUUAGACUUGGAACAGUACUGCGUUUCUUGUCACCACAUGCUUCAGGAUGUUAUACCCAAGAUCUCUGUCACACACCUACAUACCAUCUAGUCAGCGAUCAGAAAAUGAGCUUUUUCCUUCCUCAACUCUGUCUGGUUCUCAGCUCUGAAUGAGGUAGUCAUUGUGCUAGCCAAGUUGAACAAACACAAGUUAGGGCAGGGUAACUCCUUGGAUACUAACAGAACAAACUUCUUUUUGCACCUGCAGAAGAGGCUAUUUCUGUCAAAAGCUGGUUUAGUAAGUAGUCUCCUGCUGGAACAAGAGUUUAUCGGUGAUUUCCAGGUCAAUGGUUGGACUUCAGAACUUUGGGGCAAUUGGCAGUUGUACUCAGCAGCUAGAGCACUCUUCUGAACCAUGUCCCAACCUGCAGUCACUCAACAGCCAGGCUCAGUCGCUUCCUCCAUCAUGUCCCCGACGGGCGACUGGAGCACUGGGAGAUAUGACUGCUGUGCAGACUGUGGCAUCUGCUGUCUGGGGCUCCUCUGCCCAACACUGCUGGCAUGUUACGUGUCCAAAAAAUAUGGAGAGAACUGCUUCCUUCCCUGCCUUUUUGGAAGCAUGACAGCCCUGAGAACUCACAUGCGCCUCUCUUACGGCAUCCAGGGCACCGUGUGCCGCGACGGCCUGGCCAUGUGCUUCUGCGGCCCGUGCGAGCUGUGCCGCAUGGCGCGCGAGAUGGACCGCCACGGGCAGUUCUGAGGCCCGGCCCAAGCUGCGCAGACGCCGGAGAAGAGAGGA